rnacentral:rRNA from 1 species
UACGGAGGGAGCUAGCGUUGUUCGGAAUUACUGGGCGUAAAGAGCUCGUAGGCGGCCUGUCGCGUCGGCUGUGAAAACUCAGGGCUCAACCCUGAGCCUGCAGUCGAUACGGGCAGGCUAGAGUCCGGCAGGGGAGACUGGAAUUCCUGGUGUAGCGGUGAAAUGCGCAGAUAUCAGGAGGAACACCGAUGGCGAAGGCAGGUCUCUGGGCCGAUACUGACGCUGAGGAGCGAAAGCGUGGGGAGCGAACAGG